rnacentral:rRNA from 1 species
UACGUGAGCAGCAAGCGUUGAUUCGGAGUUACUAGGGCGUAAAGAGUAUGGUAGGCGGUUGCGUAAGUUCGGUGUGAAAUCUCCCGCUUAACUGGGAGGGUGCGCCGAAAACUGCGUGGCUUGAGUGCGGGAGAGGAGAGCGGAAUUCUGGUGUAGCGGUGAAAUGCGGAUAGACUAUCUGGAAGGAACACCGGUGGCGAAGGCGGUUCUACUGGGCAUGAUCUGACGCUGAGGAGGCGAAAAGUGUGGGGAGCCGAACAGG